rnacentral:rRNA from 1 species
UCUGGGCGUAAGCGCGCGUAGGCGGCUUUGUCACACUCGAUGUGAAAUCCUCGCGGCUCAACCUGGGAACUGCCUUGGUAACUGCUUGGCUUGAGUGUGGGAGAGGGAGAUUGAAUUCCCCGUGUAACCGUGAAAUGCGUAGAUAUUCGGAGGAACACCGAUGGCGAAGGCCGCCCCCUGGGCCGUUUCUGACGCUGAAGCACGAAAGCGUGGGGAGCAAACCGGAUUAAAUACCCUGGUAGUCCACGCCCUAAACGAUGACCACUAGGUGUUGGGGAUUUUUCUCCUUAGGAACGCACCGUAACUCACGCUUUUCAUCCCCCGGGUGGUGCCGGCGCUCGAUUUA